UACGGAGGGUGCAAGCGUUAUCCGGAAUCAUUGGGUUUAAAGGGUCCGCAGGCGGAAGAAUAAGUCAGUGGUGAAAUCUCAUAGCUUAACUAUGAAACUGCCAUUGAUACUGUUUUUCUUGAAUUCGGUCGAAGUGGGCGGAAUAUGACAUGUAGCGGUGAAAUGCGUAGAUAUGUCAUAGAACACCGAUAGCGAAGGCAGCUCACUAGGCCUGGAUUGACGCUCAGGGACGAAAGCGUGGGGAGCAAACAGGAUUAGAUACCCUGGUAGUCCACGCCGUAAACUAUGAUUACUCGAUAUUGGCGAUAUACAGUCAGUGUCUAAGCGAAAGUGAUAAGUAAUCCACCUGGGGAGUACGAUCGCAAGGUUG
rnacentral:rRNA from 1 species